GAUGAACGCUGGCGGCGUGCUUAACACAUGCAAGUCGAACGGUGAAACAGAGCUUGCUCUGUGGAUCAGUGGCGAACGGGUGAGUAACACGUGAGCAACCUGCCCCUGACUCUGGGAUAAGCGCUGGAAACGGCGUCUAAUACUGGAUAUGAGCUGCGACCGCAUGGUCAGCAGUUGGAAAGAUUUUUCGGUCUGGGAUGGGCUCACGGCCUAUCAGCUUGUUGGUGAGGUAAUGGCUCACCAAGGCGUCGACGGGUAGCCGGCCUGAGAGGGUGACCGGCCACACUGGGACUGAGACACGGCCCAGACUCCUACGGGAGGCAGCAGUGGGGAAUAUUGCACAAUGGGCGAAAGCCUGAUGCAGCAACGCCGCGUGAGGGAUGACGGCCUUCGGGUUGUAAACCUCUUUUAGCAGGGAAGAAGCGAAAGUGACGGUACCUGCAGAAAAAGCGCCGGCUAACUACGUG
rnacentral:rRNA from 1 species